AGUGAACGCUGGCGGUAGGCCUAACACAUGCAAGUCGAACGGCAGCACAGUAAGAGCUUGCUCUUACGGGUGGCGAGUGGCGGACGGGUGAGGAAUAAAUCGGAAUCUACUUUUUCGUGGGGGAUAACGUAGGGAAACUUACGCUAAUACCGCAUACGACCUACGGGUGAAAGCAGGGGAUCUUCGGACCUUGCGCGAUUGAAUGAGCCGAUGUCGGAUUAGCUAGUUGGCGGGGUAAAGGCCCACCAAGGCGACGAUCCGUAGCUGGUCUGAGAGGAUGAUCAGCCACACUGGAACUGAGACACGGUCCAGACUCCUACGGGAGGCAGCAGUGGGGAAUAUUGGACAAUGGGCGCAAGCCUGAUCCAGCCAUACCGCGUGAGUGAAGAAGGCCUUCGGGUUGUAAAGCCCUUUUGUUGGGAAAGAAAAGCAGCAGGUUAAUACCCCGCUGUUCUGACGGUACCCAAAGAAUAAGCAGCGGCUAACUUCGUG
rnacentral:rRNA from 1 species